CUGAAUUAAAAAAUGUAAUAUUGUUUUUAGGUUUUUCUUUUAUAUAACUUGAUGUUAGGGAAUCUUUUAAGUUGUUAAUUCCCCUAUGUAUAAAAUGUGGCUGGUCUGGCAGAAAAGUUUUUAGAGCUGGGUCUUGGAGUAGAAUAGGCCAAUAUCUGGACACUAUUUUUCUAACUUUAUGAUUCUCAGAGCUGUAAGUGCAUAUAAAGGGUAUUUUACCCAUUUCAUCUUUAUGUUUUUCCUUAUACUUUAUAAGGUCUUUUCUUUCUCUUUCUUUAAUUUCUAAUCUUGAUUUUUCUAAUUUAAAUUCUUCAUACCCCUUUUCUAGUCUAUUUAAUUUUAAUAGACUGUGCAUUAAAUGUUUCUAUAUCAGUGCAAUUCCUCCUUAUCCUCAAGAAUUGUCCUUUAGGAGCAUUUUCUAACCACGGGGAAAAAUGACAACUAUCUCUGCC